AGAGUUUGAUCCUGGCUCAGGAUGAACGCUAGCUACAGGCUUAACACAUGCAAGUCGAGGGGCAGCAUGAAGUUUGCUUGACAAACUUGAUGGCGACCGGCGCACGGGUGAGUAACGCGUAUCCAACCUUCCCAUCACUCAGGGAUAGCCCGCCGAAAGGCGAAUUAAUACCUGAUGGUCUCCUUCGCGGACAUCUAACGAGGAGUAAAGAUUUAUUGGUGAUGGAUGGGGAUGCGUCUGAUUAGGUAGUAGGCGGGGUAACGGCCCACCUAGCCGACGAUCAGUAGGGGUUCUGAGAGGAAGGUCCCCCACAUUGGAACUGAGACACGGUCCAAACUCCUACGGGAGGCAGCAGUGAGGAAUAUUGGUCAAUGGACGGAAGUCUGAACCAGCCAAGUAGCGUGCAGGAAGACGGCCCUAUGGGUUGUAAACUGUCUUUUAUGGUGGGAAUAAAGUGGAGGACGUGUCCUCCUUUGCAUGUACCACACGAAUAAGGACCGGCUAAUUCCGUGCCAGCCGCCGC
rnacentral:rRNA from 1 species